rnacentral:lncRNA from 1 species
CAAUUGUACUAUUGAUAUAAUAGUACUAAAUAUUGCAUGUGGUAUUUUGUGGUACAUUAUAUUAGAAUUGUAUACUAGAGCUAGUCUGAGCAAAUUGUAGUGUAUGGAUUUAUGGUACUAGGCAAUUGUAAGUCAUAAUAUUAGGUGUAAUAUGAAGAGGUUGUAGAGAAUAACAAUAAGAUAUGAAGGCAAAGCUUGCAAUGCACAAGGAACAUGGUAUGGCAUUAAGAUCUGGAUUGUAGGACAUUGCAACGUAGGAGUAUUAUGGCAUUGUUAUUUUUUUAUUUUUUAUUUUUUUUUAUAUUUAAAUUUUUUGGCACAACAAAGCUUCAAUUAUGGUAUGAUAUAGGAAGAUUUAGAUAUAUUACGACACAUUAAACUUACCAAGUAUCACGUGAAUAAAUAAAAGUGUUGGUAUAGUACU